UAGGGAAUCUUCGGCAAUGGGGGCAACCCUGACCGAGCAACGCCGCGUGAGUGAAGAAGGUUUUCGGAUCGUAAAGCUCUGUUGUAAGUCAAGAACGGGUGUGAGAGUGGAAAGUUCACACUGUGACGGUAGCUUACCAGAAAGGGAUCGGCUAACUACGUGCCAGCAGCCGCGGUAAUACGUAGGUCCCGAGCGUUGUCCGGAUUUAUUGGGCGUAAAGCGAGCGCAGGCGGUUUGAUAAGUCUGAAGUUAAAGGCUGUGGCUCAACCAUAGUUCGCUUUGGAAACUGUCAAACUUGAGUGCAGAAGGGGAGAGUGGAAUUCCAUGUGUAGCGGUGAAAUGCGUAGAUAUAUGGAGGAACACCGGUGGCGAAAGCGGCUCUCUGGUCUGUAACUGACGCUGAGGCUCGAAAGCGUGGGGAGCGAACAGGAUUAGAUACCCUGGUAGUCCACGCCGUAAACGAUGAGUGCUAGGUGUUGGAUCCUUUCCGGGAUUCAGUGCCGCAGCUAAC
rnacentral:rRNA from 1 species